GUGGAGCAACCCUAGCCAAGUAUAACACUACAGGGAGACUUCUCUACUUCUUUCCUCUGCACGCUGGUCCGGAGAAGUUCCUGCCAAACCAUCGAAGCGAGGAUAUUGGGGGACCAUAAAAGGCCGCUUUUUUUCAACAGAACCCUGUGACAUUGGCUUCCUCAGUUGUCUCUCUGGGAGGCCAUUGGCAGCAAGUCUGGCAAUGUUUCCUCUCUGGACCGUCUAACGGGACAUAUUUUUUGCAAGAGCUAAAUAAUAGAUUAUAAAGGUUGAAACACUAUGACACAGAUUUUUAUGUUUAGGUCAUAACUAAAGACGAGCCCUCUUGCCGUUCAAGAAGGGAAUUAACGAAAACAUGCUUUCUUGCCCUGUGCAUCUUUGAUAUGGCAGAGUGAUCUGCAGGUGAUAAUUUAACUCAUAUUGGAUUUUUUAUUCUAUAUGAAAAAGUCUCCUAUCCAUGGAGUGGGUGAAACCAAAAGGAAAGGGGGAGAAGGUCCCCUUUAUAUUUUAGGAAGAUGAAGAAGGAAAGAAGCCUGCACCCUGAGAGGAUUCUAGAAUUCAAAAAAACCAAGAAUGAUUCUCAUUUCAAAGACAAGAAGAUGCCCACGUGUUCUUUGGCCAGAUGAAGGACUUUGUGGGAGCCCGGCGGUGUAGGCUUUUAAAAAGCCCUAAGCCUCAUGGCUGCUCUCCCAAAGAGAAAUGGCGGAAGCCUCCAGUCCUGUGCGGAAGGAAUUCUGCUCCUGUCUUGCUGGAGAUCCUCACCCUGCCUGGGAAGGAUCAGACUGGCGCUGGCUUUGGAGUCACUUGGGGCCUUCAGUCAACUGUGGAGGUGGAACAAUGAAGUCUUUCAUGUGAAAGAAAAAAAAGAAAACUCCCUGUGUGCAGUGAUCUCUCUCUCUCUCCUUUUCUGUAUCACUGUGAACAUACUAAAAGAAACAAAAGGAAAGGAUCAACCCCUUUUCCAGUGGUCAAAAGAAAACAUAAGUAUCAGAAAUUGGCAGCAUCAGAUAUCUCUGGAACUGGGCAUUAAACAGAG